CCUACGGGAGGCAGCAGUGGGGAAUAUUGCGCAAUGGGGGAAACCCUUACGCCGCAACGCCGCGUGAGUGAAGACGUAUCUCGGUAUGGUAAGCUCUAUCAGCGGGGGAGAAGGAAGACGGUACCCGACUAAGAAGCCCCGGCUAACUACGUGCCAGCAGCCGCGGUAAUACGUAGGGGGCAAGCGUUAUCCGGAUUUACUGGGUGUAAAGGGAGCGUAGACGGCGUCGCAAGUCCGAAGGGAAAGCCCGUGGCGCAACCGCGGAACCGCUUUGGAAACUGCGUGGCUGGAGUGCUGGAGAGGUAAGCGGAAUUCCUGGUGUAGCGGUGAAAUGCGUAGAUAUCAGGAGGAACACCGGUGGCGAAGGCGGCUUACUGGACAGUGACUGACGUUGAGGCUCGAAAGCGUGGGGAGCGAACAGGAUUAGAUACCCCAGUAGUC
rnacentral:rRNA from 1 species